rnacentral:rRNA from 1 species
UACGAAGGGUGCUAGCGUUGUUCGGAAUCACUGGGCGUAAAGCGUGCGUAGGCGGCUAUGCAAGUCAGAGGUGAAAUGCCGGAGCUUAACUCCGGAACUGCCUUUGAAACUGCAUAGCUUGAGACUCGGAGGGGAUAGCGGAAUUGCUAAUGUAGCGGUGAAAUGCGUAGAUAUUAGCAGGAACACCGGUGGCGAAGGCGGCUAUCUGGACGAGUACUGACGCUGAGGCACGAAAGCGUGGGGAUCAAACAGG